UACGUAGGAUGCAAGCGUUGUCCGGAUUUACUGGGCUUAAAGCGCACGUAGGCGGCUUUGCAAGUCGAUUGUGAAAUCCCCGGGCUCAACCUGGGAACUGCAGUCGAGACUGCUUUGCUUGAGUAUGGGAGAGGGAGGUGGAAUUUCCGGUGUAGCGGUGAAAUGCGUAGAUAUCGGAAGGAACAUCAGUGGCGAAGGCGACCUCCUGGACCAAUACUGACACUCAAGUGCGAAAGCGUGGGGAGCAAACAGG
rnacentral:rRNA from 1 species